UUGCAGUUUGGACAGCUCUUUCGGCUAAG
rnacentral:sRNA from 1 species